UGGGUCGGCCGGGCGACCGCGGCGCCGCGCCCCGUGCGUCGGCGACGAGGAAAGUCCGCGCUCCACAGGGCAGGGUGCCGGGUAACACCCGGGCGGGGAGACCCGCGGACAGGGCCACAGAAACACACCGCUUCGCGCGCGAGCGCGGAGCAAGGGUGAAACGGUGGUGUAAGAGACCACCGGCGGACCCAGCAAUGGGCCGGCCAGGCAACCCCCACCCGGAGCAAGGCCAAGCAGGGGCGAGGAGCGGCCCGCUCCGUUCGAGCCCCGGGUAGGCUGCUCGAGCCCGGCGGUGACGCUCGGGCCUAGAGAGAUGGUCGCACAGGUGCGGGAUGGUCGGGAAGAAGGCCUGCGGGCCGUAAACCGAUCGCCGCGCCGGACAGAACGCGGCUUACAGGCCGGCCCCCGGU
rnacentral:RNase_P_RNA from 1 species